rnacentral:misc_RNA from 1 species
GGCUCGUCCAAAUGUGCCAAAGUUUGGGAAUUGGGAAAAUGACGAUAAUACGCCCUAUACUGUAUAUUUUGAAAAAGCCAGGCAAACUCGUGGUACUGGAAAGAUGAUGAACCCCAAUGAUCCCGAAGAGAAUCCAGAUAUGUUUCGUAAUCUUGCUCCACCACCUGAAGUUGCUCCUCAAUCCAAGCCUAAAAGACAAACAGAGGAACCACCAAUUGGGCGUGGUGGACCAGCUAGGCAAACACGGGACCAUAGACUAAGUAAAGAAGAUGGUGAAUUCCGCCAGUAUGCUAAUUCUCCAGCUCGUAAAGAGAGUGUGGGAAGGAAAGGUGCCAAUGAGCCAUCUCAUCAACGUGGUCGUGGAUCAAAUUCUGGUAGAACUGGCAGACAAAGUAUAGGAUCUGAACAUAGCUUUGAUAAAUCACCGCUGCAUCCACAUUACCAGGCAAAGGUUAGUAAUGCUGGAAGAGGUGUUGCAUCUCCUGCUUGGGAAGGAAAGAACAAUUCUUAUGAUAGCAGUCACGGUACUCCUGGAAGGUCCAAAGUUAAGCAAGACAAAUCUGAUAGAGGGGCUGCAGUUCCAAGAUUCGGAGAGUGGGACGAGAAUGAUCCUCAAUCUGCUGACAACUACACACACAUUUUCAACAAAUUCCGAGAGGAAAAGCAAGGAAAUCCAUCAGGGACACCUAGUAGAACAUCGAACAAUACACAAAAGCAUAACUCAGAGGAAAAGCAAAGGAAGUGGUGUUGUUGUCCCUGGUAAUUAUGCAAGGGAGGACCUUGAUUUUAUUCCAAAACAGCCAAGGGAUGUGUAAAUAGUUCAACAAAUUACUUGUGCAAUAUAUUAGAGUAAUUCAUUUAUACUUUGUUCCCACAGUAUUCUGCAAUUGUAUUGUCAACUUGUAGUCUUUAAUAUUGUACUUGUGUUUGUAUGUUACAAACAGUGCUUGCAGAUUUUUUAUGCUUUCGCAAUGUUGUAUGUGUGAAGUCUAGUAUUGUUGCUUGGUCUUUUCUGGCAAUGCAAAUGCUUAUAAUAUUUGAUU